AUGAGAUUUAAUCUAAGGCAAAGAAAAGUUUUUUUUUUUUUUUACAGUAAAAGCAAUAAGGAUAUUGAAUUAUCUUCCUUGAAGAUGUGGUUUUAUCAGAGUCCAUACAGAUGUUUAAACUGCAAUUGGAUAAAUACUUGCAAAAACAAAACAUACAGUGAUAUCAUUUCUAAUUAGUGGGGUAAUAGUUGCUUGAUCCAUGGAGACAUCUGACUGCUAUUUUGGGGUCAAGAAGGAAUUUUUUCCUAGUUUGUUGCAAAAUUGGAAACGCUUCAGACUGUUUUUUGCCUUCUAUCUGAACAACAGCAAAAACAUGUGAGGGAGGCUGAACUUGAUGGACGCAAGUCUCUUUUCAGCGAUGUAACUAUGAAUCAUCCUUUUUCCUUUAUACUUAUGGGAUAACCAUAUGGUACAGCUAAAGGCUGGCAGAGCAAGAUGCCAUUCUACUACAGCUAGGGAUAUACUAUAUGGUUAACAAUUUAGGGUUAUGAGGUCCCAGAUACCCAAAUUGGUGUGAAGACAUGGAGGAUAUUUUUGCUCAGUACUGCCAGGUCAAGCUGGCCUCUCUUGGCAUUAUGGGGGAGGUAACAAAGAGGCACAAUAUUAUAUAUGACCUAAAUAAACGACUGAGUGCAUACAUGCAUGACAGUCCUUUUUUGUGUCUCUAUGAAGAGGUUACCCUCUUCGUGGAAUAAAGUUGGUUUCUGAAUAUAACAUUUCCAUAUAGUAAGAUAGCCACGUCCUAAAGACGGUCCAAGUCAAUCAUGCUCUGAUACAGUAUCUCACAAAAGUAAGUACAACCCUCACAUUUUUGUAAAUAUUUUAUUAUAUCU